UGAGUCGCCCGGAUCACCGCGUUGAGAAAUCACCGAGGAAAGUCCGGACUCCACAGAGCAAAGCGGUGGGUAAUACCCACCCGGAGCAAUCCGCGAGCAAGUGCAACAGAGAGUAAACCGCCAACGUAAGUUGGUAAGGGUGAAACGGUGGUGUAAGAGACCACCAGUAUCUGUAGCAAUACAGGUAGCUAGGUAAACCUCGCUUGGAGCAAGACCAUGUAGUUAGCGUUUGAGAGCUGCUCGCUCGAGUUAACGGGUAGGUUGCUUGAGUUUGUUAGUAAUAACAAACCUAGAUGGAUGGUGAUCGAUCACAGAAUCCGGCUUAUAGGGCAACUCAAUUA
rnacentral:RNase_P_RNA from 1 species